UCCCCAGUGGCCUAGAGGUUAAGGGCUCGGUGUUGUCACAGCUGUGGUGCAGGUUGGAUUCUUGGCUGGGGAA
rnacentral:tRNA from 1 species